AGCACUCCGCCUGGGGACUACGGUCGCAAGACUAAAACUCAAAGGAAUUGACGGGGACCCGCACMAGCGGUGGAGCAUGUGGUUUAAUUCKAUGCAACGCGAAGAACCUUACCACUUCUUGACAUGGAGAUUAGAUCCUUCUUAACAGAAGGGCGCASUUCGGCUGGAUCUCGCACAGGUGCUGCAUGGCUGUCGUCAGCUCGUGUCGUGAGAUGUUGGGUUAAGUCCCGCAACGAGCGUAACCCUCAUCCUUAGUUGCCAGCGGGUUAAGCCGGGCACUUUAAGGAGACUGCCAGUGGUAAACUGGAGG
rnacentral:rRNA from 1 species